rnacentral:lncRNA from 1 species
GGAACGAGAACAGGGUACACAGCCAACCUUCAGAUAAUACUCGCUGCUAAUACAUCUCAUCGGCAGUUCCCCAAUAAAUCUUUCCCAAUAACUAGUUGAUUGGAAUAUACCAAUAUCUCAUUCAUUGUUUUUUUGGAAGAGUUGUGCAGUUCCCUAAUAAUCUUAUCACAAUUCAACUACUGUAUUGGAAGAGUCACAACUCCCCCUUUAUUUUGGGAGAGUUGG